AUUGAACGCUGGCGGCAGGCCUAACACAUGCAAGUCGAACGAGUGGCGGACGGGUGAGUAAUGUCUGGGACACUGCCCGAUGGAGGGGGAUAACUACUGGAAACGGUAGCUAAUACCGCAUACCAUCGGAUGUGCCCAGAGGGGAUUAGCUAGUAGGUGGGGUAACGGCUCACCUAGGCGACGAUCCCUAGCUGGUCUGCGAGGAUGACCGGGCACACUGGAACUGAGAGACGGUGCAGACGCCUACGGGAGGCAGCAGUGGGGAAGAUUGCGCAAUGGGCGAAAGCCUGAUGCAGCCAUGCCGCGUGUAUGAAGAAGGGCUUCGGGUUGUAAAGUACUUUCAGUGAGGAGGCGUUACUCGCAGAAGAAGCACCGGCUAACUACGUGCCAGCAGCCGCGGUAAUAC
rnacentral:rRNA from 1 species